CUUUAUUAAUCUUUACGUAUUUAAAAACUUCACGAGAGCCCAAUGUUUAAACCUAUAAUUUCGUGAAUAUCCUUUUUUCCCAAAAACAUCCAGCUAUUUAUUGAUUUCAAUAAAAAAACUUGUGACUUAAAGUUCCGAUUUUAUUUCCAUAACAUCUUCGACACAAAAACCAUAUGAAAUUCCUAAUGAAAGUGAAGAUGCGUCAUUGACCAACAGUAACGGUAUACCAAUAGUGUGGAUAGUCAUUGGGUUGAGCGUUAUUAUUGCGGUUGUCAUUAUUUCAACGGUCAUCGUAUUGGUCAGAAAACGAUUUUUAAAGAAGAAUCAACACGUAAAUACAAGUGAACCUCAGCCUGUCCAACAUGGGUUCAGAAAGCAACCUAGUUUAUGCAGAUAUAGACAUCGAACAUUUGGAGACAGCCAGCAAACCAUCUGCGAGACAGAAGCCGCCAAGUCCGACAGAAUAUGCUGGCGUUGAUUUUAUCAGAACAGAACGUGGAUCAAACAGUGACAAUAUUAUUACCUUAUGUCAGGGAAGAUAAUAACUUUACAUACAUGCUCACAAGCUGAUGUACUCAUAUACAAAACAUGCCGUGGCAUGGUAUCCGUCCGUGUGUCCGUAAACAAUUGCUUGCAAAUCCGGUGUUUAAGUUUGAUUGUAUCUCAAUAAAACUCAUACAGUAGUUAGAUAUCUAAAAGAGCUAGAUUUUUCCCUUAAACCAGCCAGAUCUGCUUAUGCAUGAGUGGAUUUGGGCCCUUGAAAUACUUUAUCCCUAGCAGAAGUAUACUCUAAGGGAGGCAAACUGUACAUAGAGAUGUGUCGUAUUGUAGUGAUGAUCUCCUUUUGCCGUCUGUGAUCCAUGAGGAUCAUUGAUUGCUUCCCUUUGAAUGUGGGCUCCGUAAUGUGCCUGUAAUUAGUAUGUACAUUCUUGGGGUAAAAACAAACAAACCAAAAAAGUCCAUUCGGUGGAACAUAGGACAUCAUGGGCAUCUUGUUAUACUUCUUCAAAUAUAUGGACGCCUUGUAAGAUGUUUUGUCUUUACCAUCUGUGUAAUGAUGUAUUUGUACAUUCUUGUGUUUGUAUAUUGUUGCGUGUGUGUUUUUCUCAAUCUUUUCACGUUUGUAACUAUAAAAUAUUCAUUAUAGGUUUUUUUA